rnacentral:rRNA from 1 species
GACAGAGGAGCCAAGCGUUGCCCGGAUUGACUGGGCGUAAAGCGCACGCAGGCGGCCGUGCACGUGGGGUGUGAAAGCUGGCGGCUUAACUGCCAGACGCCACCUCAUACGGCACGGCUCGAGCCCGUGAGAGGUCCACGGAAUUGCCGGUGUAGUGGUGAAAUGCGUAGAGAUCGGCAGGAACACCCAGGGGGAAACCAGUGGACUGGCACGGUGCUGACGCUCAGGUGCGAAAGCGUGGGGAGCGAACCGG